GAUGAACGCUGGCGGCGUGCCUAAUACAUGCAAGUCGAGCGAACAGACGAGGAGCUUGCUCCUCUGACGUUAGCGGCGGACGGGUGAGUAACACGUGGAUAACCUACCUAUAAGACUGGGAUAACUUCGGGAAACCGGAGCUAAUACCGGAUAAUAUAUUGAACCGCAUGGUUCAAUAGUGAAAGACGGUUUUGCUGUCACUUAUAGAUGGAUCCGCGCCGCAUUAGCUAGUUGGUAAGGUAACGGCUUACCAAGGCAACGAUGCGUAGCCGACCUGAGAGGGGGACGGGCCACGCGGAAAGUGAGACCCGGUCCAGCCCCCAAGGGGGGGCAGCGUGGGGAAAUCUCCCCAAAGGGGGAAAAGCCUGAGGGAGAAACGCCGGGUGGGUGAAGAAGGUCUUGGGAUCGAAAACCCCUUUUUUUGGGGAAAAACAAAUGUGUAAGUACCUAGGCCCGUUUUGGCGGAACCAAAACAAAAAGCCCCGGCAAACUCCG
rnacentral:rRNA from 1 species